rnacentral:rRNA from 1 species
CCUACGGGCGGCAGCAGUGAGGAAUAUUGGUCAAUGGGCGGAAGCCUGAACCAGCCAAGUCGCGUGAGGGAAGACGGUCCUAUGGAUUGUAAACCUCUUUAGGCGGGGAGCAAUGCCGGGCACGCGUGCCCGGAGGGAGCGUACCCGCAGACUAAGCAUCGGCUAACUCCGUGCCAGCAGCCGCGGUGAUACGGAGGAUGCGAGCGUUAUCCGGUUUUAUGGGGGUUAAAGGGUGCGUAGGCGGAUUUUUAAGUCAGCGGUAAAAUGUCCGGGCUCAACCCGGGCCGGCCGUUGAAACUGGGGAUCUUGAGUGGGCGAGAAGUAUGCGGAAUGCGUGGUGUAGCGGUGAAAUGCAUAGAUAUUACGAAGAACUCCGAUUGCGAAGGCAGCAUACCGGCGCCCGACUGACGCUGAGGCACGAAAGCGUGGGGAUCGAACAGGAUUAGAUACCCCAGUAGUC